AAAUUGACAAGUCAGUUGAUCAUAUCAGGUCUUAGAACAAGACAAAAGUUAACGCAUUGCCACAGACAGUCUCCUCAGAAGGGAAGAGAGUGCGAAGCAACUCUCCUCUGUUGUUGCUGCAAGUGGCUUCCUGUCAAGCAGAAGGAACGUACCUUCAGGAGCUCCUGAAAUGAUGUCAGCUUUGAUGUGGUUUUAGUUUCAGAUGCACAAUAUGAACUUGAGCAGUCAGACACGAAGUUCCGUUGUGGUGAAACAGCUCAUGUUCAUGCCGACUUUAUUUGUCAUUAUAAAAGAAUAGCACAAUGAAUAUUCUGUUGGGUACUUUCAUUUAUUUAAAAUGAUAAAUAAAACUGAUUAAAACUACAGUUAUAAAGAAGAAGUCCUGGUUUGGUAAUGCUCAUCCUAAGUGGUUCACAGCUCGUGGCGGAGGAGGUAGCGGUGGUUGGGCUUCAGGUCAACUUCCACUGGAAAAUGAUCACUCACCUCAAGAGCCUAGAGAGCCACCGAGAGAUGAGGAGUGAUGUUCGUGUCAGUCGCUGACCUGUCGUAGGCGCAGUGCGUCUUCUUCCGCACAGUAGUGUCUUGUUCAUCUCCAAUUAACCAACGGAACCUGGGGUCACUCCUCAGACGCACUGCUCUCCAGCCCUUGAUGGUGACGUAGCUGCAGCCGGCGUUGAGGUCACCCAGGAUCAUCACGUUCUGGUGUGAGCGAGAGGAAGCAAAAAGGGGAGUCAUUUACAAAUUUCAUCCUGUGAGACAAGAGAGACACUAACGCAAGGCUAGGCC